UCCACUGAAAAGUAAUUCUGGAGCUCGCAGAGUUCUCAUUUUUCAGAUUUGUAGUAGUAUUCGCUUUUGGUUUACAUGAUAUUGGCUGUAUCUCCCUGACAACUGCUCUUUGGUUGGUGUAGGUGUUUUUUUAUGGAUGUACCUGGUUGCGAUGAAGCUAAACAAGAAAUAAUGCUAUCACUUAUUACCUUUGUCCUUCAAAUUUGAGUAUAGGCCUGCGAAAUAAUGAAUAUUUGUGUCUCAUUGCUCCAGCAUGGUCAAUAAAGAUAUGUUGACCCAGGAAAUGUGGGUUUAUCAUAGGUCCUACUGUAUACGUUGAUAUAUGAAAUAUGACAUUUACGGUUAUAUGCUAUCACUUAUUGCCUUUGUCCUUUGCAUUGAGUAUAGGCCUGUGAAAUAAUGGUGUAUUUGUGUGUUGAUUCGUCUGUUUUCCUUCAUGUUCUGGUUCUAAGGUACUAGGACAGACCCAGAGUUAUUUGUAAAAAAAUGUGUUCCAAUGUACCAAUAUUUUGUAUCCUUUCUAAUGCUUAAAAAAGAGGCCAAUAAUUCUUUUAGAAUAUGUAAUAUAUGACAUGUGUAACGCACCUUAAGAGACUACUAAGUUAUCCUGUAUAAUUGGCACGCCCUACUUUUGUAGUAAUAAAUAUAUCAGGUGCUGCUCCAUACAGGUGAUACAUUGCAUUUACCAUAGUAUUUGAUUACAUAUGAUAACAUAAAAUCUGUUUUUUCCUUAGCGGUUCGGCACAUUAGUGCAUAGAAACAGAGUACAGGCAAAUUGAUUAGAUGCAUUAGUUAAGAACACUGAUUUUUUUGGAAAGCUUCAUCAUGACAUCGAUAUUGGUUUCGCCUUACUACCACUCAGAGGUUGGAUGGAGCAUUGAGGAUUUCAGGCUUGGGGUGGCCACGUGUUGCAGGAUAGCAGGAAGAGUUGGAUGUGUUCUGCAGAGACGAGGUGAUCAAUGUCGUUGCCGCCAGGUAGAUGAAGUACAACACUUCUAAAUUUUCUCAUUUAUUUAUCCUCAUAGUUGGUUCCCUUGAUACUUUUUCUUAGAAACAUGAUCAAAGAUACAAAAAGUUUUACUUCUGAAGCAGAAGUGGCAGUAUAGUGUGCAUGUCGUAUUGCAAGUAGAUUUUAUAGAUACCAAUAGAAAUAAUAACUUGGGAUUUAUUUCUGUUCAACCUCUGUGAUCUAGAUGAGCAAAGCAACAACUUUGGCUUUAUUUCUUUGUGAUGUAGAUGAGAAAAACAGUACCUUGGAUUUUAAUUUUGUUCUCUAUGAUGUAGAUUAGCAAGAUUUCUAACCAACAAAGUAAUUUAUUUUAGUAUGGUUUUGUCACUAUGAUUGGUAAUAUGAAGUUUAUUUAUUCUAGGUUCCUAUCUUUAGACAGUCACAUCCACGUUCGUACUUUUAGAAUAGUUGUUGCAGAGCAUUUUUGCAAUAGCAAGAUAUCAGGACCCAAUGGGCAUAGGCCGAACCAACCACCAUCACUAUUGCUUCAGGAUUAGAUAGCCAACAUCCACUCACGAGGUGAGUUUGCUUACUCUACUUUCAGUGUACUAUGCAGAUAUGUUGGUUAGAAAUUUUGCUAUGUUCCUGUCAAGUUGAUUAGAUAUGAAAAAUAUGCUCUAUAAUACCCACAUAAUACUUGUUUAAAUUGGCUUUUCCCUGGUUCAUCGGUGCACACAUGAAACCGGUAAUAAGAAGAGAAUCACCUGAUUUUUUUAUAGUCUAUUUUAGUAAGCAUGUUCAUAAUAUUAGGAUAGUUUAAUUUGAGAACAAUUGGCUGGAGGAACGAUGUAAUUUGAUACUCUGUUAUGUUGAUCUCCAGAGAAAUCUGGUUUUUGGUUUUUCAUUGAUGUACGUUAAUCUGUUGUGAAUCUUGUUUGCUUGCACCAAUUAUAUGUGUAACAAUUAGAGGGGAACUUUUGGAACUCAUACAUUCUAUUUCAAUUAAUGUUCAAAGCAACUUUCCUGUGUGAAUCUGAUAAUCUCACUGAAACAUGUGUUUCAUUGUGUAUAUUCAGCCUGUCGAGUCAAGUUUCAGACGAUCAUGUAUCCCCUUGAUAUUCACUGGAUGGAAUCCCCUGUUUUACUUAGACUGAACCUUCUACAAACAUCGGAAAAGCAACAGUAAUAAAGAUGGACAGAAAUUCCAAAAAUAAGGUUAGUUCUUCUUUGUUCCGUAUCAUUCUCUUUACCGUUCCUUUUGGUACUAUACUCCAAAAAAGAGGCAAUCGGAAAUAUUUAGGUCCACUGAAAAGUAAUUCUGGAGCUCGCAGAGUUCUCAUUUUUCAGAUUUGUAGUAGUAUUCGCUUUUGGUUUACAUGAUAUUGGCUGUAUCUCCCUGACAACUGCUCUUUGGUUGGUGUAGGUGUUUUUUAUGGAUGUACCUGGUUGCGAUGAAGCUAAACAAGAAAUAAUUCUAUCACUUAUUACCUUUGUCCUUCAAAUUUGAGUAUAGGCCUGCGAAAUAAUGAAUAUUUGUGUCUCAUUGCUCCAGCAUGGUCAAUAAAGAUAUGUUGACCCAGGAAAUGUGGGUUUAUCAUAGGUCCUACUGUAUACGUUGAUAUAUGAAAUAUGAUAUUUACGGUUAUAUGCUAUCACUUAUUGCCUUUGUCCUUUGCAUUGAGUAUAGGCCUGUGAAAUAAUGGUGUAUUUGUGUGUUGAUUCGUCUGUUUUCCUUCAUGUUCUGGUUCUAAGGUACCAGGACAGACCCAGAGUUAUUUGUAAAAAAAUGCGUUCCAAUGUACCAAUAUUUUGUAUCCUUUCUAAUGCUUAAAAAAGAGGCGAAUAAUUCUUUUAUAAUAUGUAAUAUAUGACAUGUGUAACACACCUUAAGAGACUACUAAGUUAUCCUGUAUAAUUGGCACGCCCUACUUUUGUAGUAAUAAAUAUAUCAGGUGCUGCUCCAUACAGGUGAUACAUUGCAUUUACCAUAGUAUUUGAUUACAUAUGAUAACAUAAAAUCUGUUUUUUCCUUAGCGGUUCGGCACAUUAGUACAUAGAAACAGCGUACAGGCAAAUUGAUUAGAUGCAUUAGUUAAGAACACUGAUUUUUUUGGAAAGCUUCAUCAUGACAUCGAUAUUGGUUUCGCCUUACUACCACUCAGAGGUUGGAUGGAGCAUCGAGGAUUUCAGGCUUGGGGUGGCCACGUGUUGCAGGAUAGCAGGAAGAGUUGGAUGUGUUCUGCAGAGACGAGGUGAUCAAUGUCGUUGCCGCCAGGUAGCUGAAGUACAAAACUUCUAAAUUUCCUCAUUUAUUUAUCCUCAUAGUUGGUUCCCUUGAUACUUUUUCUUAGAAACAUGAUCAAAGAUACAAAAAGUUUUACUUCUCAAGCAGAAGUGGCAGUAUAGUGUGCAUGUCGUAUUGCAAGUAGAUUUUAUAGAUACCAAUAGAAAUAAUAACUUGGGAUUUAUUUCUGUUCAACCUCUGUGAUCUAGAUGAGCAAAGCAACAACUUUGGCUUUAUUUCUUUGUGAUGUAGAUGAGAAAAAUAGUACCUUGGAUUUUAAUUCUAUUCUCUAUGAUGUAGAUUAGCAAGAUUUCUAACCAACAAAGUAAUUUAUUUUAGUAUGGUUUUGUCACUAUGAUUGGUAAUAUGAAGUUUAUUUAUUCUAGGUUCCUAUCUUUAGACAGUCACAUCCACGUUCGUACUUUUAGAAUAGUUGUUGCAACGGGGAAGAGCAUUUUUGCAAUAGCAAGAUAUCAGGACCCAAUGGGCAUAGGCCGAACCAACCACCAUCACUAUUGCUUCAGGAUUAGAUAGCCAACUUCCACUCACGAGGUGAGUUUGCUUACUCUACUUUCAGUGUACUGUGCAGAUAUGUUGGUUAGAAAUUUUGCUAUGUGUCUGUCAAGUUGAUUAGAUACGAAAAAUAUGCUCUAUAAUACCCACAUAAUACUUGUUUAAAUUGGCUUUUCCCUGGUUCAUCAGUGCACACAUGAAACCGGUAAUAAGAAGAGAAUCACCUGAUUUUUUAUAGUCUAUUUUAGUAAGCAUGUUCAUAAUAUUAGGAUAGUUUAAUUUGAGAACAAUCGGCUGGAGGAACGAUGUAAUUUGAUACUCUGUUAUGUUGAUCUCCAGAGAAAUUUGGUUUUUGGUUUUUCAUUGAUGUACGUUAAUCUGUUGUGAAUCUUGUUUGCUUGCACCAAUUAUAUGUGUAACAAUUAGAGGGGAACUUUUGGAACUCAUACAUUCUAUUUCAGUUAAUGUUCAAAGCAACUUUCCUGUGUGAAUCUGAUAAUCUUACUGAAACCUGUGUUUCAUUGUGUAUAUUCAGCCUCUCGAGUCAAGUUUCAGACGAUCAUGUAUCCCCUUGAUAUUCACUGGAUGGAAUCCCCUAUUUUACUCAGACUGAACCUUCUACAAACAUCAGAAAAGCAACAGUAAUAAAGAUGGACAGAAAUUCCAAAAAUAAGGUUAGUUCUUGUUUGUUCCGUAUCAUUCUCUUUACCGUUCCUUUUGGUACUAUACUCCAAAAAAGAGGCAAUCGGAAAUAUUUAGGUCCACUGAAAAGUAAUUCUGGAGCUCGCAGAGUUCUCAUUUUUCAGAUUUGUAGUAGUAUUCGCUUUUGGUUUACAUGAUAUUGGCUGUAUCUCCCUGACAACUGCUCUUUGGUUGGUGUAGGUGUUUUUUUAUGGAUGUACCUGGUUGCGAUGAAGCUAAACAAGAAAUAAUGCUAUCACUUAUUACCUUUGUCCUUCAAAUUUGAGUAUAGGCCUGCGAAAUAAUGAAUAUUUGUGUCUCAUUGCUCCAGCAUGGUCAAUAAAGAUAUGUUGACCCAGGAAAUGUGGGUUUAUCAUAGGUCCUACUGUAUACGUUGAUAUAUGAAAUAUGACAUUUACGGUUAUAUGCUAUCACUUAUUGCCUUUGUCCUUUGCAUUGAGUAUAGGCCUGUGAAAUAAUGGUGUAUUUGUGUGUUGAUUCGUCUGUUUUCCUUCAUGUUCUGGUUCUAAGGUACCAGCACAGACCCAGAGUUAUUUGCAAAAAAAUGCGUUCCAAUGUACCAAUAUUUUGUAUCCUUUCUAAUGCUUAAAAAAGAGGCGAAUAAUUAUUUUAUAAUAUGUAAUAUAUGACAUGUGUAACGCACCUUAAGAGACUACUAAGUUAUCCUGUAUAAUUGGCACGCCCUACUUUUGUAGUAAUAAAUAUAUCAGGUGCUGCUCCAUACAGGUGAUACAUUGCAUUUACCAUAGUAUUUGAUUACAUAUGAUAACAUAAAAUCUGUUUUUUCCUUAGCGGUUCGGCACAUUAGUGCAUAGAAACAGAGUACAGGCAAAUUGAUUAGAUGCAUUAGUUAAGAACACUGAUUUUUUUGGAAAGCUUCAUCAUGACAUCGAUAUUGGUUUCGCCUUACUACCACUCCGAGGUUGGAUGGAGCAUCGAGGAUUUCAGGCUUGGGGUGGCCACGUGUUGCAGGAUAGCAGGAAGAGUUGGAUGUGUUCUGCAGAGACGAGGUGAUCAAUGUCGUUGCCGCCAGGUAGCUGAAGUACAAAACUUCUAAAUUUGCUCAUUUAUUUAUCCUCAUAGUUGGUUCCCUUGAUACUUUUUCUUAGAAACAUGAUCAAAGAUACAAAAAGUUUUACUUCUGAAGCAGAAGUGGUAGUAUAGUGUGCAUGUCGUAUUGCAAGUAGAUUUUAUAGAUACCAAUAGAAAUAAUAACUUGGGAUUUAUUUCUGUUCAACCUCUGUGAUCUAGAUGAGCAAAGCAACAACUUUGGCUUUAUUUCUUUGUGAUGUAGAUGAGAAAAAUAGUACCUUGGAUUUUAAUUCUGUUCUCUAUGAUGUAGAUUAGCAAGAUUUCUAACCAACAAAGUAAUUUAUUUUAGUAUGGUUUUGUCACUAUGAUUGGUAAUAUGAAGUUUAUUUAUUCUAGGUUCCUAUCUUUAGACAGUCACAUCCACGUUCGUACUUUUAGAAUAGUUGUUGCAACGGGGAAGAGCAUUUUUGCAAUAGCAAGAUAUCAGGACCCAAUGGGCAUAGGCCGAACCAACCACCAUCACUAUUAUUUCAGGAUUAGAUAGCCAACUUCCACUCAUGAGGUGAGUUUGCUUACUCUACUUUCAGUGUACUGUGCAGAUAUGUUGGUUAGAAAUUUUGCUAUGUGCCUGUCAAGUUGAUUAGAUAUGAAAAAUAUGCUCUAUAAUACCCACAUAAUACUUGUUUAAAUUGGCUUUUCCCUGGUUCAUCAGUGCACACAUGAAACCGGUAAUAAGAAGAGAAUCACCUGAUUUUUUUAUAGUCUAUUUUAGUAAGCAUGUUCAUAAUAUUAGGAUAGUUUAAUUUGAGAACAAUUGGCUCGAGGAACGAUGUAAUUUGAUACUCUGUUAUGUUGAUCUCCAGAGAAAUUUGGUUUUUGGUUUUUCAUUGAUGUACGUUAAUCUGUUGUGAAUCUUGUUUGCUUGCACCAAUUAUAUGUGUAACAAUUAGAGGGGAAAUUUUGGAACUCAUACAUUCUAUUUCAGUUAAUGUUCAAAGCAACUUUCCUGUGUGAAUCUGAUAAUCUUACUAAAACCUGUGUUUCAUUGUGUAUAUUCAGCCUGUCGAGUCAAGUUUCAGACGAUCAUGUAUCCCCUUGAUAUUCACUGGAUGGAAUCCCCGGUUUUACUCAGACUGAACCUUCUACAAACAUCGGAAAAGCAACAGUAAUAAAGAUGGACAGAAAUUCCAAAAAUAAGGUUAGUUCUUCUUUGUUCCGUAUCAUUCUCUUUACCGUUCCUUUUGGUACUAUACUCCAAAAAAGAGGCAAUCGGAAAUAUUUAGGUCCACUGAAAAGUAAUUCUGGAGCUCGCAGAGUUCUCAUUUUUCAGAUUUGUAGUAGUAUUCGCUUUUGGUUUACAUGAUAUUGGCUGUAUCUCCCUGACAACUGCUCUUUGGUUGGUGUAGGUGUUUUUUUAUGGAUGUACCUGGUUGCGAUGAAGCUAAACAAGAAAUAAUGCUAUCACUUAUUACCUUUGUCCUUCAAAUUUGAGUAUAGGCCUGCGAAAUAAUGAAUAUUUGUGUCUCAUUGCUCCAUCAUGGUCAAUAAAGAUAUGUUGACCCAGGAAAUGUGGGUUUAUCAUAGGUCCUACUGUAUACGUUGAUAUAUGAAAUAUGACAUUUACGGUUAUAUGCUAUCACUUAUUGCCUUUGUCCUUUGCAUUGAGUAUAGGCCUGUGAAAUAAUGGUGUAUUUGUGUGUUGAUUCGUCUGUUUUCCUUCAUGUUCUGGUUCUAAGGUACCAGGACAGACCCAGAGUUAUUUGCAAAAAAAUGCGUUCCAAUGUACCAAUAUUUUGUGUCCUUUCUAAUGCUUAAAAAAGAGGCGAAUAAUUCUUUUAGAAUAUGUAAUAUAUGACAUGUGUAACGCACCUUAAGAGACUACUAAGUUAUCCUGUAUAAUUGGCACGCCCUACUUUUGUAGUAAUAAAUAUAUCAGGUGCUGCUCCAUACAGGUGAUACAUUGCAUUUACCAUAGUAUUUGAUUACAUAUGAUAACAUAAAAUCUGUUUUUUCCUUAGCGGUUCGGCACAUUAGUGCAUAGAAACAGAGUACAGGCAAAUUGAUUAGAUGCAUUAGUUAAGAACACUGAUUUUUUUGGAAAGCUUCAUCAUGACAUCGAUAUUGGUUUCGCCUUACUACCACUCAGAGGUUGGAUGGAGCAUCGAGGAUUUCAGGCUUGGGGUGGCCACGUGUUGCAGGAUAGCAGGAAGAGUUGGAUGUGUUCUGCAGAGACGAGGUGAUCAAUGUCGUUGCCGCCAGGUAGCUGAAGUACAAAACUUCUAAAUUUGCUCAUUUAUUUAUCCUCAUAGUUGGUUCCCUUGAUACUUUUUCUUAGAAACAUGAUCAAAGAUACAAAAAGUUUUACUUCUCAAGCAGAAGUGGCAGUAUAGUGUGCAUGUCGUAUUGCAAGUAGAUUUUAUAGAUACCAAUAGAAAUAAUAACUUGGGAUUUAUUUUUGUUCAACCUCUGUGAUCUAGAUGAGCAAAGCAACAACUUUGGCUUUAUUUCUUUGUGAUGUAGAUGAGAAAAACAGUACCUUGGAUUUUAAUUCUGUUCUCUAUGAUGUAGAUUAGCAAGAUUUCUAACCAACAAAGUAAUUUAUUUUAGUAUGGUUUUGUCACUAUGAUUGGUAAUAUGAAGUUUAUUUAUUCUAGGUUCCUAUCUUUAGACAGUCACAUCCACGUUCGUACUUUUAGAAUAGUUGUUGCAACGGGGAAGAGCAUUUUUGCAAUAGCAAGAUAUCAGGACCCAAUGGGCAUAGGCCGAACCAACCACCAUCACUAUUACUUCAGGAUUAGAUAGCCAACUUCCACUCAUGAGGUGAGUUUGCUUACUCUACUUUCAGUGUACUGUGCAGAUAUGUUGGUUAGAAAUUUUGCUAUGUGCCUGUCAAGUUGAUUAGAUAUGAAAAAUAUGCUCUAUAAUACCCACAUAAUACUUGUUUAAAUUGGCUUUUCCCUGGUUCAUCAGUGCACACAUGAAACCGGUAAUAAGAAGAGAAUCACCUGAUUUUUUUAUAGUCUAUUUUAGUAAGCAUGUUCAUAAUAUUAGGAUAGUUUAAUUUGAGAACAAUUGGCUGGAGGAACGAUGUAAUUUGAUACUCUGUUAUGUUGAUCUCCAGAGAAAUUUGGUUUUUGGUUUUUCAUUGAUGUACGUUAAUCUGUUGUGAAUCUUGUUUGCUUGCACCAAUUAUAUGUGUAACAAUUAGAGGGGAAAUUUUGGAACUCAUACAUUCUAUUUCAGUUAAUGUUCAAAGCAACUUUCCUGUGUGAAUCUGAUAAUCUUACUGAAACCUGUGUUUCAUUGUGUAUAUUCAGCCUCUCGAGUCAAGUUUCAGACGAUCAUGUAUCCCCUUGAUAUUCACUGGAUGGAAUCCCCUAUUUUACUCAGACUGAACCUUCUACAAACAUCGGAAAAGCAACAGUAAUAAAGAUGGACAGAAAUUCCAAAAAUAAG
rnacentral:lncRNA from 1 species